AGCGGCGGUGAUUUCAGGGAAAACUUCACAGCUGUUGUUAACCUGCGGAUCCACUUGGGCUGUAGACCGCAAAAACUGGAGAUCAACGUUAACGGAUCAUUUCUGGCGGAUGCGUACAACAUAACGGAAGACAGCAGCACCGGAGAGAAAGUGUUCAGUAAAUCAUUUUAUUUCCUAAAGAUAUCAAUGAUCGAUAAUGGUACCAUUGUGUUCCUACACGGCAGCUUCAUUGACGACCAAGGAUCCCCAAGAAACAUCAGCAUUGAACAAACUAUCCGCGUCGUUCCAGAAACUUUUUGUCAAGAAAAGUCUUACGGUUGUAACUAUCCUCAUCCAUACAACGCUAACAUGAUGGUAGCAUGUGGGGAAGGAAUUAUUGCUGCUUUUCGCAACUGUCAACCGGGACUCGUGUUCUCCAACUCGAGUUGUGCUGGACAGUGUUGCCAGGAGGGUUCAACAAACAACUGUCAACAAACAUAAAACACGAGUAGCUCUCAGAAGCUAUUAUACAUAUAGAUUUUCACUAAUCAUGACACAACUAUUAUUAUCUUUUACUCAAGUAUCGUGAAAGGUGAUUCCACUGUCGAAAACCAUUUCUGAAAUAUCGAAAUCAAUAAAUGCUCUAUUAUAAUCCAUAACAAAACUAUUGUAAAAAUGACCGCAUUAUCGAAAAUCCUCGCUCUUUUUCUUCAUUUCCUGCCUGUCAUCAACUACAGUGCAAAAUGACUCGGGAAUCAAAACGCUUCACUCUAAUAUCUCACCUCAUAAGUCAAUUAGCAUAAACGUUGACUCAGCCAUCGAAAGUAUGAUUCACUUUAGCAGAUUAUCAAUCAACCAUUAUCAACAAUGUACUAAUAUCCUUAUUCUCGAGAGUUGUCUAAACAACAACAUAAUUAUUAUAGAUUAUCUAUAUAUCAACUAUGGAAAAGUGUGAUUCAAUUAUAAUGAAAUCGUUAUUUUUUAAUUAUUUUUUGUGUGCGUUAAUGAAAAAUAGUUACAUGGCUGAUAUUUGGAAUAUUGUAGCAGCAUUGUGAUAUACCUUAACAAUACGAGAAAGGACAAUGAUACAGAAACUGUGAUUCUUAGUCGAUGCACAGAGAAUAUUUACUUACAUAAAUACCCUCGCACAAUUUACCAUGACAAUAGUGUUGUGGAAGUGUGCGCACCUUGUGGUUCAUCUCCGACAUCCGCAAUGUCUACGUCAAAUCCUAGUGAUGUUAGUUCCUCAAGAUGUAAGCCGUGGUGCUGUCGACGGAAUUACCAAGUGCGACUAUCAAACACGAUUAGCUACUUUCUCGAAAUAAUUUGCAUAUCAUUCAUAAAAACGACUGAUCAAUUUUGUAAAUAUUCUCCAUAAAUAUUUGAUAGCAAAACAGUGUAUCCGAGAACUUGCUAGUUACUAAGAGGGGCCAAAACUAUUUCCUCUCGAUGAAAGUAAAUCAGUUGAUUAUAACAUUACGUCGUCAUGAAAUCUGGUGGUUACGGAUCUACAAAAUAUCUACUUUAGUAGUUAAAACUGGUAGUUUACUUUUUUUCUUUGUAAUUUGUUGCAACUUGUUAAUUCCUUACAUUACAAUGUUUACAAGUCCCGCGUUGUGUCUGCACUGCUCUACACGAAGGCUUCAUUCUGUGUUUUUAAGUAUUUUUGUUAGUUUUCUUAUGUUUUAAGUGAUAAGAUAAAACAACAUCAAUACGAGCUUGUAUGGUGUACAUAGAACUUCAACAUUAACUUUUUCAGUGCAUUAGUGAUACAAGCUUGGAUCGGAUGUCAUGGCAACAAUUAGGAUGGCAUUUUUAUUACAUUGUGUUGGAUUUAAAAACGUGUAUACACAACCGAACCCGUCAUACACGAUACUCUAUGCCGUUGGAAAUCGUUUGUCAAUAAUAAGUUUAAUCAUUAAAAUUCAUUGCAUUCAUGCAUUAAUAUUUUUUUUUCGCCAUAUGCUAAUUUCAAUACUUAAAACGCUGAAGAGUUCAAAUACUGAAGCAAGAACAUUAACGCUUGCUGUUUAAAUACUGAUGAAACAGAUACGAGCGUAAAGGUACGUUGUAAUUGCACGUGAACAACAAAAAGUGCUGUACACAUGUACGUGUCAAACUUUGCCAAAAUUAUUUUUUCACAAAGUUGUCAAUCAAUUGGCAUUUCGUCAGUAUAACUAUACAUAAAUAAAUAGAACAAUGUACAGCACUUUCUCCAGUUUCGAAGUACAAGUGUAUCACGUUUAUUUGUACGCAAAAAUACGUUUAAUGGAGAGCUCUAGUUAUACUUUCUUGCUGGUCACGUGACCAAGCAGGAACAAGAGAACCGAA